CAGCAGCCACGGUAAAACGUAGGGUGCAAGCGUUAAUCGGAAUUACUGGGCGUAAAGCGUGCGCAGGCGGUUAUAUAAGACAGAUGUGAAAUCCCCGGGCUCAACCUGGGAACUGCAUUUGUGACUGUAUAGCUAGAGUACGGCAGAGGGGGAUGGAAUUCCGCGUGUAGCAGUGAAAUGCGUAGAUAUGCGGAGGAACACCGAUGGCGAAGGCAAUCCCCUGGGCCUGUACUGACGCUCAUGCACGAAAGCGUGGGGAGCAAACAGGAUUAGAUACCCCAGUAGUCCCUGUCUCUUUACA
rnacentral:rRNA from 1 species